rnacentral:lncRNA from 1 species
AUCAAAAAUAUCAAACUGGGGAGUGAGUAUAUAAAUACUCAGUGAGUGGAGUAGAGAGUACUAUGCACAUGAGACAAGAUAUAAUCAUGGCUCGAGGUAAAAUCUCAAGAGCAUAUGAGCAGUCGUCAAGAACAGGGUACACAUAACUCAACAUAAGAAAUAAGGAGUAAAUCAUCACAAUCCCAAUCAACUCAUCUGGAGCAUAUAUAGAAUAAUCAAAUAAGUAUGUAUGAUAACGUGAAUAUGCUCAACAGGUCAUAGUAUUGAAUCAUAUAAAUCAGGUGUCAAUAGGCUGAAUCAUCAACAAGACAGCUAUCGGGAGGUGGGUUUUACGCCCCAGGCGAACCAGCAACAACUUCCCACUGUCACA